UCCCUGAGAGAUUUUUAAAAUUCUUAUUUUAAAAAGCCGAAGGCUUACCGCCUUUUAAGGGUGAGAGAUUUGAAGAAACAAAAGUUCCGACAGCGCUCCAAAUAGUCUUAACUGUGAGAGGUCCCUGGGGAAUUGGGGCAAUUCGUGAUUGGUCGAAGUGGUUUUCGGGACCGUGACACGUUCGUGCUGCUCCGAUCGCGACGCGACUAAUCCCAUUCGAUGUAGAAUGACUUUUAACACAGGUAAUGACUAAAUUUUUUAAGUAUUAACGAAAUUAACGAGAGAUUGGGAGCAAAAAGGGGAAAAAAAGGGGAAACUUCUAAAAUAUAGGAAAAAAAUGUCUUCUAAAAUUAGAGGAUGCAACCACCUCUAAUUGAAAGAUGAACCUAUCAUUUAACGGAAAAGACUAAAUUUGCAUUACGUUAUUUGUGGUUCGCGAGAUAUUUGACCAAGAAAAAGACACACAGAUUGACUUUUAGUUGAUUGUGUGCUGACUAGCAGACGACGUUAAUUUGCAACAGCCAGUCUGCUUGUGGAAUGUGGCAUGGCCUACUGUGGGUAUUUUAAUUUGAUCGUUUGAAUGUUUGUGAUUGAUUUCAUCUUGUGAAGCACUAUGUUUAUAUUUCAAAUUUUAACUAUUGCAGCAUUAUAAUAAGGAAAGAAAAACAUACCUCUUGUGUCACAACUGAUGGUUCCUUUACCUAUCAAAUCUGUACCACAUUGACAGAUGGUUCACAUGUAGGUGCUGAAUCAACUGGAAAACGUUCAAAAAAAGGGAAUUGAGAAUUACAUUUAUCAUCAGACAUACCUCCAUUUCAGAAAAUUUUAUCGUUAAGAUGACAAGUUGGGAAUUGAUUUACUGUUUACAUGUCACCUUAAGUGAUAUCAUUGCAUACCAGACUUUAUUCGGAUGCAAAACAAAUUUCCCUCAUUUAAAAGGCAUGCAUGAUUUAAUGGUUGAAAUUUUGUAACGAAGAAAAAAGAAAGCUGCAGCUGUGGAAAAUAGAAUUGACAGAUUACAUUCAUCAUCAGACGCAUUUCAGUUUCAGAAAGUUUUGUCUUGAAGAUGGCAAAAGUUGCCAGUCGAUUUACAUGUCACCUUAAGUGAUGUCAUAGCAGGAGCUUGUCAUUUAGAAUUUAGAUAGUUUGUUACCAUACUUUAUUUGACAUGAUUGUUUUAGACAUUCAUUUUGGUUUUUUUUCAGGCAUACUUCUAUUUCAGAAAGUUGCCAGAAAAGUUGCCAGUCAAUUUACAUAAUACCCUAAGUGAUAUCAUAACAGGAGCUUGUCAUUUAGAUAGUACUCUAAAGCAAGAGCCUUGACAAGCAAAAUUGUAUUUCAUUCUGGCCCAACAAAUAGUGGGAAAACAUAUCAUGUUCAUGAAUGGUUUUUUAAUUCAAAUAAGAAGUUUAUUGUAAUCCUUUAAUUUCUUUAUUAAAAAUCAGAAGUUUAUUGUGGUCCCUUAAAACUUUUGACAUCUAAGUAAUAAAAUUAAGGAAAUGAGUGCGGUGUCCAAUGUGAUUUACUAUUUGGAGAAUAAAGACAUUUUCAUGCUAA